rnacentral:rRNA from 1 species
CGGGGGGGGCAAGCGUUGUUCGGAAUUACUGGGCGUAAAGGGCUCGUAGGCGGCCAACUAAGUCAGACGUGAAAUCCCCAGGCUCAACCUGGGAACUGCGUCUGAUACUGGAUGGCUUGAAUCCGGGAGAGGGAUGCAGAAUUCCAGGUGUAGCGGUGAAAUGCGUAGAUAUCUGGAGGAAUACCGGUGGCGAAGGCGGCAUCCUGGACCGGCAUUGACGCUGAGGAGCGAAAGCCAGGGGGAGCAAACGGGAUUAGAUACCCCGGUAGUCCUGGCCCUAAACGAUGAAUGCUUGGUGUAACGGGUAUCGAUCCCUGUUGUGCCGAAGCUAACGCAUUAAGCAUUCCGCCUGGGGAGUACGGUCGCAAGGCUG